rnacentral:rRNA from 1 species
ACAACGAAGAGUUUGAUCCUGGCUCAGGAUGAACGCUAGCGACAGGCCUAACACAUGCAAGUCGAGGGGCAUCAUGGAUGGUAGCAAUACUAUUUGAUGGCGACCGGCGCACGGGUGCGUAACACGUAUGCAAUCUGCCCGUAAGCGGGGGAUAACCCGGAGAAAUCCGGCCUAACACCGCAUAUAUCCGGUUUUUCGCAUGGGAGAUUG